rnacentral:rRNA from 1 species
UACGGGGGGGGCAAGCGUUGUUCGGAAUUACUGGGCGUAAAGGGUUCGUAGGUGGCCGGCUAAGUCAGACGUGAAAUCCCUCAGCUCAACUGGGGAACUGCGUCUGAGACUGGUCGGCUUGAGUGCAGGAGAGGAACGCGGAAUUCCAGGUGUAGCGGUGAAAUGCGUAGAUAUCUGGAGGAACACCGGUGGCGAAGGCGGCGACCUGGGUCGAGACUGACGCUGAGGCGCGAAAGCGUGGGGAGCAAACAGG